rnacentral:rRNA from 1 species
CAGUCGCCGCGGGAAUACGGAGGGUGCAAGCGUUAUCCGGAUUUAUUGGGUUUAAAGGGUCCGUAGGCGGAUCUGUAAGUCAGUGGUGAAAUCUCACAGCUUAACUGUGAAACUGCCAUUGAUACUGCAGGUCUUGAGUAAAUUUGAAGUGGCUGGAAUAAGUAGUGUAGCGGUGAAAUGCAUAGAUAUUACUUAGAACACCAAUUGCGAAGGCAGGUCACUAAGAUUUAACUGACGCUGAUGGACGAAAGCGUGGGGAGCGAACAGGAUUAGAUAUCCCCGUAGUCCCUGUCUCUUAUAC